UCAUUCACCUUCAAGAGCAACAAUUGCUAUACAACUUCUCAAAACAUAGCCUUCUCUCUCCAAUCAAUUCUGCCAAAAUUAUGCAAUACUUUCCUUUCUCAAAUGUAUUUCUAAUAGAAAAACUUACGUAUCGUCCACAAUCAACAAAAUAAUGUGCAGGUUAUAAUCGUCAACUAACCAUCCUCUGAAACCUCACGGCGAUUAUAAUCUUCAUCGCUCCUCUUUCAUUCUACGAUUCUCAUGCAGGUUAGUUUUAAUUUGAAGUUUGAUUUGAUUUUUUUGGUGUCCAUCUCUUCUACUUUAUCCGAUUACUUGGACUUGUGACAACAUUAACUAUUACGACGGUGAAUGUCGAUGCCGGAAUUGGUAGGAGGAAAUCUGUAUUCAUAUUCGGAUCUCUUACAUCUAUCCCUACCGGCGCCCGGAAUACGGUGAUAUGAGACACGUUUCCUUGAGGAAGAUACAGAUUAAGAGACAGGGAGAUGGAACAAUUUGGUCAAGAAAGGUGUUAGUCUUUCUCUUUUUAUGAUCUUUAAUUUUGACUAUUGUUUUAUUUAGUUAUUCAUACCUAGAAGUCAAACUUAGAUUAUUAGAAUAUGUUGCUUUGAAUAUGUAUAAAUAAAGGGGUUAAUGUUAUAAUUUAAUUUGGGGUUGUUUUGGCAUAAAGUGGCUGAUUAUGGUUUCAGUUUCAAGCAUUUGGUUCCAAACGAUACAAUAUCAGGUACCCAUCAUUGCAUUUGUUUUUUAUUUUCAUCCGUGUAGUAAAAGGAAUCGAAAGUAGCCACUUGCGAAACAAGUUGAAGGCUACGUGGUUGUUAAAUUUGUGAAUAUUAUAUAUUUCAAAUGGGUCAACUUUAAAGUAACUUCAAUAGAAGGAUUGUAUGUUUGAGCUUUGUGUCUGCUUGACCUAUUUCUUUCUAAUCCUUCUUCUUUGGUGAUUAAGGUAAUCACAUAACCCUUUUACAUAGUUGUUUUCCAAUUAACAUAAUUUGUUUGAAAGGUUUAGUUAUUUUCGAACAAAUUGCUUUAAGUAUAAUACAAUUCUUGGCGAAAUGGGUCACAAUUUUACUGCUCUUAAAGCUCAAUCAAACCAAGUAAUUUAACGUUUGGUUUGCUCAAAUAACUGAUUGUUGAGGUUUAGAUCGGGACGAGUUAUGCUAAAAAUCUCUGUGUUGAAAUAGUCGGUUCUGGUAAAGUGACUGAUGAUAAGGGUUCGUGUCAAAACAGCUCUGUCCGAAAUGUGAUGGGGUUGAAUUGGAUGUGGGGUAGCUAACUAGCUAAUCACAAUGGGUUCGGGUUGAAAUGGUUUGUUUUAGAAAAAAAUAUAGUCAUAACUUUAUAUUUUAAACAUAUAUAGAUCCUGAUCUAAUUCAUAUAUAGAUCCCGAUUUAAGCCGGUUAUGUGGAUCUUUAUGUUUUCUUAUUAUUAUUUCACCCAAAUUUAAGUAAAUAACAAUUUAAAAAUUCAUGAUGUUUUAAUUUUUGUUAAUUAUUAGUUACAAUAACUCGACACAAUUGUGUUAUGGAAUAAGUUAUUUCUAGCCUUGAUAUAUGUGUGUGUGCUUUUGUAUGUUAAUGAAUGGAGAUGCAUCCCCAUAGCUCGGGAGUAAGGUUUAUAAAACUUGAUAUCUUAUGAUUGCAAUUUAAAUGUCAAAUUUUGUUCUAAAAUUAUUAAAAGAACAUCUUUUGUAAGAGGGGUCUCGACAUUGAUAUCACUUUGGUUAGUGGAAACCUAAGAAAAGCUAUGUUAAAUCUCUUUUUAUUUAUUGUUUGGAAGAUAAAUAAGAUGGUUUGACUUUUGAUCUUUAACCUUUGACUUUUGAUUUUCAGCUGUGGGAUUCUUACACCAAAGAAUAUAGCAUCGAAUACGAGGAAUAAGUAACAUUUAAUUACAAUUAAUGCUUGUCCUAAGCUUCAAAACACUCUUUUUAAUUAUGAAGGGGUUCAGUCUUCCUAAGCUUCAAAACACUCUUUAUAAUUAAGAAGGCAUUCAGUAUUCCGGGUACUGGCUCCCUAUUUUGCCACUCAACAUUGAGGUAAAUACAGUUCAUGCCAUGAAUUUUCUCAAGUAUUUGUAGUCGGAGAUGGGAUGGUGGUUGCCGGUUCUAAGAGAGAGAGAGAGAGCAAUAUAUAACGUUAAAACACUACUUUAUUUAUUUAUUUAUAUGUAACACUACUUUAUUUGUUUAUAUCAACAUUUAUCUAUCAGGAUUUUGUACUUAUUGAUUGUUACUAUUGUUGCAGUAUAAGUUCAAGUCUUACAUUUAACUUCUUUUUUACUUUUGAAUAGGCUAAUUGUCAUUUUGUGUUUUGGUAACAAAGUGUAGGGAAAUUGAUUGAUCAUGAAAUUCCUUAAUAGGCUUUGGACAAGCUUUAUCACCUUCAUAACUUUGCUUUGAUUCGUUAAUAGUAGCUUCCUAAUUUGUUUCCCUUUUUAGCGGCAGUCGUUCAAGAUCUCUUGAAAAAAAAGAGAACAUAGUAUGGACCAUGAAUGGAUGCCAAUGAGUCCCCAUGACUACAGCAGCCGAAGCCACACUCGCAGUCCCGAGACGCAUAGUUCUCCAUAUUCUUCAAAAGGAAAGAACCAGUGCCCAACUCCUAAUGAAAAUAGGGCUGGCCUAUCUCCUGACAUGGCAAAUGAUUGUAUGUAAUUUGAGCUUUAACAAGACGAUUUGGUGUUUUAACAUGUGAUACUCAUCUCAAGCAGGUUCGUCGAUUUUGCCCUAAUAUAUGACCUGACUUCCUGAAUCCUUUUAGUUUUAAAAAUAAUGGACUAUUAUUCUGAAUCAACUUUUGUUAUACAUAUAAAGCAUCAUCAUCUUAGUGCCAGUGUAGUUUUUUGAGUUUUUUGAGUUUUUGGUUUUGAUCACCAGCCUUUUCCUUUUUGUUUUGCCAUGUUACACGUUUUUUCUUUCAGUCCACAAAACAAAGAAAGAGAACCGGGAAGAGUAUUCACGUGAGAGAGACAGCGAGAUGACGGUGAUGAUGGUGUAUGAUAGUGGUGGUCGACGUAUGUGAAGAUGAUUCUGACAUAACUAUUUGUCUCUGGCGACACUUGCAAGACUCUGAUUACGAAGUGGGGAUGAUGAUGUCACUCGGAUCCGAAUGUCGUAUUCCUAUGCUGAAGUUUGCUUCCUAAAUAUACAGCUUGAACAUGAUGUAUGAGGCUUGCCAUUUAUACUGGUUGUCGAUGAGGACAAUGUCUAUUCAUAGUGUCUCUAGGUGUCAGAAACCGACCUGAACCACUGGAGGAGUGGUGGUGGAUGCUCAGGAGGUGUUUGGUGACGACCCAGGUCUGAUAUGAGUUUGUUUGGAAGUUGGAAUGGCUUUGGUGGUCUGUUUGAUUGGAGUCAACAUAAGUCAACUGUUCAUCGCUCAAGAAGUCAAGCAUGUGCCAAUUGGUCAAAAACAAAGGAGUGAUACACCCUGAGCAUCCACCACCACUGAUAACCAGGUGAUUCACCCUACACGAUCUUCUUUUGUGAAGAUCGAUGACCUAGGGUUUUGGCGAUUACACCUGAUAACCAUACAAUCUUUCAUAUACCAGAAUUGAGUUGAUUAGUGCCAUAUGAGCCACAGAGAACUAUUACGGUAACCGAUUUGAAAUCUUUUUUUAAAUUAGUUAGCUUUUGCAACAUUGUUAAUCUACAUGUGAUUGGAUAGUUAGGUUACUAUGAAUCCAAAGCAUUUUUGAUGAAGUGACAUACCGAAUUGAUUAUUUAGGUUUGAAUCUAUGUUAGAGAUAGUGAUUUUGGAAGUGGGGAACAUGUUAUUUUGGAAAACAUGUUAUUUAGAUAUAUCGAUGUUGUUUCCAUUUUCUUUGUAAUUUACAGGGAGUCUGCAAAGAAACACUAACUAAGCUAAGAUAGCUUAAUUUCAUCAUAUAAAGCUUGUGAAUUCGUAUCAUUCAAAAUCAAGGUGCAUACCAUCCCUCUAAUAUGUUUAAUGAGAUCCUUUUUUUCUAAUUUAUUGGCUUAAAGAGAUCAUACAAUGAUUACAAUCACAUUUUGAUUUUAUCAAUUCUUUAUAUCCCUGUGUUAUAGAAUUGAUAGUAUUUGUUAAAAUAUGGUCAUAACAUUCAUCUCAAAGACUUAUGUUAUUUAAGUUAGUGUUAUAUUUUUGUUAUAAUUGUUUUUUAAUACAUGGUUUGUAUUUGUGGGCCGAGGAAACAAAUGUUUUGCUUAUGGGCUAAGGCGUAUGAGUCUAAGUGAGCUAAAGUUGCUCUUAUGCGAAGAUGGGCCAGAAGCGUACAACUGUGCUGGAAGGAGUUGGUCUGAAGCCUUGAAGCCUGGAAGGCGUAUAUAAAGAGUCAUCGUCUGAAUAUAAGAGUUUUUGAAUAAGUUUUUGAAUAAAACGAUUAAUGACAAUGUAAUCAUAUGAAUACUUUUGACCUAUUUGGUCAUUUCAUUUAUUUUCUUCUUGAAAAAAAAGCAAGUACCCGGUUGACCUGUUUCAAUAAGAUACACAUGAAAAUGGUUUUGGGUUGAAACAGGUCAUUUUUCAUAUCGGUUGAAUAAAUUAUGCGUAGUACAUGUCUAAACGGCCAAGUUAGAUUGGACAACAUGUGAAAAUUGGUUUGGGUUGAAAUUUUAGCUUUUAUCAAUGGUUUUAUGUAUUCAUGAUGUUGUAGUUUAAUUACUUUUGCAGGUGAUAUCAAAUGAGAGAAUGUGUUUGUUGCUUUUUGGAAUUGGCUUUAUCUUGCUAACUUUGCAUCCUUUGAACCAACAUGGCAACAUAAAUCCCUCAUGA